AUGAUAUCCUUCCUAUUCAAGUGAGGACAAAAGGUGUCACUCUUCCAACCCUGGAGAUCCCUUCCCUCCCUCAGGGUAUGGCCCUCCACUUCAUUUUUGGGGCAUAACAUCUUUAUAGGACACGAGUAAAGUCCCAAUACUGACAGGAGAAUGCUUAGGACUCUAACAGGUUUUCAAGAAUGUGUCAGUUAGGGCCACUAAAUCCAAUUUUUCUUGGUCCUCUUUGUGGUCUAGGAGGACAGGCAAGGGCGCAGGUUUUCAAGAAUGUGUCAGUAAGGGCCACUAAAUCCGACAUUCCUUGGUCCUCCUUGUGGUCUAGGAGGAAAACUAGUGUUUCUGCUGUUGUGUUGGAUCGAGGCCAUCAAGCUACAGAUGGUCUUACAAAUGGAACCCCAAAUGAGCUCAACAACUUCUACCGAGGAUCCCUGGACUGACCUGCUGGCCCUUUCACUGGCCUGAAGAGUUCCCCUCUGGAGGACACUACAACUGCAGGGCCCUUUCUUCACCCCUGUCCAGCAGGAAGUAGCUAGAGCAGUCAUCACCCAAUUCCCAACAGCAGUUGGAGUGUCCUGUUUAGAGGGGGGAUUGAGAGGUGAAGCCAGCUGGACUUCCUGGGUUGAGUGGGGACAUGGAGAACUUUUCUGUCUAGCUAGAGGAUUGUAAAUGCACCAAUCAGUGCCUAGCUAAAGGAUUGUAAAUGCACCAAUCCGCACUCUGUAAAAAUGCACCAAUCAGCACUCUGUAAAAUGGACCAAUCAGGGCUCUGUAAAAUGGACCAGUCAGCAGGAUGUGGGUGGGGCCAAAUAAGAGAAUAAAAGCUGGCCACCCCAGCCCACAGCAGUAACCCACUCAGGUCCCCUUCCAUGCUGUGGAAGCUUUGUUCUUUUGCUCCUCACAGUAAAUCUUGCUGCUGCUCACUCUUUGGGUCUGCACUACCUUUAUGAGCUGUAACACUCCCUGUGAAGGUCUGCAGCUUCACUCCUGAAGUCAGCAAGACCACAAACCCACUGGGAGGAAUAAACAACUCCGGUCAUGCCAACUUUAAGAGCUGUAACACUCACUGCGAAGGUCUGCGGCUUCACUCCUGAAGUCAGUGAGACCCCGAACCCACUGGAAGGAAGAAACUCUGGAGACAUCUAAACAUCUGAAGGAACAAACUCCAGACACACCAUCUUUAAGAACUGUAACACUCACUGUGAGGGUCUGCGGCUUCAUUCUUGAAGUCAGCGAGACCAAGAACCUACCAGAAGGAACCAAUUCCGGACACAAUUUAACAUGUAACAAUACUGCUGAUAAAAUAAUACGUAAACCAGUGGUAAUCACAGAGGAUGCUCAAAUGAUUGAUUUUGUAAAAUAUGCUGAUGAAAGAAGUCUGGAACAAAAUGUACCAAAAUACUAACAGUGAUUGUGAGGCAUUGAUGAUAUUGUGAGUGUUUUUUGUUUUUAACCUUUCCUGUUCUUAAAAAUGUUAACAAUGUUGCUAUUUAUAGUGGAA
rnacentral:lncRNA from 1 species